rnacentral:lncRNA from 1 species
AAGUGACACAAUUGCCUUUCUUUUGUUUACAACAAAGUUAUUCUAUAGACAUAAUCAUUAGAUUACAGGUAUUAUCUUCUUGCUCUUUUGGGCUCCUGUAGUUAGUACAUCCAAUUCUUGGUAGAUGUUUGUUCCUAUGUUAAUACGUGUAUUUGUUAAAUUUGUUCUCAAAGACAGCGUGCUUUUGAGAUGUAUAAUAUAGGGCACGUAAUAAUGUUUAUUACUGUCAAGGCUCCAGUGACCACUGGUGUUUUUUGUACUCAAUUCACUAAACAUUUUUUUGAGGCCUUAUGAUGACUCUACCAGAGACUGGGGCCAAAAAGGUAUACAAUGAUGCCGUCAAGGGGCUCAGCCUCCGAGGGAGGGCAGAUGUAAACAGUUAAUGUGCCAUGCUUGAGCACAGUACGGAGUCCUCUAGGAACACAGGGGCCUCAAACCACGUCUAAAACAAGAGCUCUGACAGGGUAUGUUGCCCAUGUUCACAGAACUUGUAGCUGGCAGAGGCAGAGUUUGAACUUGGAUGGAUUUCAUACCACCACCUCAGGUGCCACUCUGUGAUGGUGGUGCCAUUCAUUACUGUGCCUGCUCCAGGGGGGGAAGUGCUGCUAUGCAGUUCCCAGGGUAGUUUCUACCCAAAAUGCUGGCCUCCAAGACCAGCUCCAACUCUGACUUCAGCCCCAUCCCUUGCUCCCUGAGCCAUCAGGGUCAUGUCUGAUGGGCUGCUUCAGAACCUUACUGGGUCAAGCUGACAGAGGUGCUCCCCCUUCUCUAAUAAUUCCUCUCCUCACCCACCACCAGCAGAGGCUGCUCUGUGGGAAGGCUAAGUAAGGCCUGGAUGAAGGGAAUGCUUAUGAGGGGGCUGGAAAUGAGUGACCUGGCUGGAGAUACUCACUCUGCCCCACCGCCCUGUCAUGCUCUGGCUGAUUCAGGAGUAUCUUGCAGGAGGUCACCUACAUAUACAUUAGCAAUAUCAGCAAUAGCAAGGACAACCCUAGAAGGUAAUUUAUAAUAAGUCCAGGAUGUAGAAACUUCCAAACACUGUCUCCAUCUAAGGUUUAGCACCAUAAAUUUUAGAUUUAUCUACCAGCAGGCAGGAGGGGAGAGCAGAGGAAUGAAAGCUUUGGCAGGAUUUAACUUCCCUGACCACCCCCCAACACACACAAGUUUUAAAAUUGUGAAUAAACGGAUGCUCAGACCAAGUCCAAGACAAGAAUACAAGUAUCUCUGCUUAAAGCCCCUGCUACUUCUUUCCUCAUGGCAAAGACUUGCCAACAUUGAACAAGGAAAGUGAAAUCCCACUACUCACAGAAAUACAGUGGAAGCUAAUGUGGGGGAUUAAAAAGAUCAGUUUAGGAGAAGCCUGAGCAGAGCAGUCGAAGCUUGGAACAGAUACCAAAGGGUACUCUAAGUAGGCCUGAGUUUGGAGGUGACAGCCAAUGUUUACUGAAUGGUGUUGGGGUAAGGGCUUUACAGGUGUUACUCUCCACAAUAUCCCGAUGCAUUAAGUCUUUCAUUGCAAAGGGGCAGCUGAGGCUGAGGUCACACAACCGGAACAUGGAGAAGGAGACACUGGAGCCAGCUGGAGCCUUCAUACUCUUUCCAUGAAGCUUUGCUGUUUCAGUCGACACUUCUUGUCUUGAUCUUGGAUUAGUCUGUAUCAGCUUUGGCGCUAAGGCUUCUAAACAGUGCUGGUGGCUGAUGGAUCAGCUUCAGAGCUUGCUGUUCUGUUGAAGGCCGUUUUGAUGUUACAGACAUUGAAGGGGUGGUUGAUAUUAGCUGGAGGCGGGCUGACUAUUCAACAAGGAAGGUCUUCAAAAGAAGUGAAACGGUACAGCCUCAGGCUUGCCUCAGCCUCUGAAAUGGACUCCUGCUUCUGGAGUGCCCUGGUAGCCUAGAAGUUAAGGAUUCAGCACUGUUGUCACUGCUGUGGCUUGAGUUUGAUCCCUGGCCUGGGAAUUUCUGCAUGCUGUGGGUGUGGCCAAAAAAACGGAUGGGGGAGGAGAAUGGGCUCCUACUUUUGAAUCACAGGAUCCAAACUCACAAGGUACUAAUGUAGACAAUGCUAACUUAUUAAUUUGCAAUAACAUAGACCCUUCUAGUGAGUGACCAGAAUAUUCACCGUUCUGAGAACUCUCUCCUAAGAAUCAAGGUUCACAGCAAUCUCCUAGUCACUAUAAUUUCAUUUGUUGAACUCAAAUGAGAAUAAAGGAAAAGGAUGGCACUGAUGUUUGGAAUUCCAGGAGGGCAGCUUAGAACUACAAAACCCGAGUGGUCCAGGACCAGGGAGCUCAGAAACAAGAACUUUAAGAGAGUGCUGAGGACGUGAGGACAACUAGGUAGCACGGCACAGAUGAUGCUCUCGUAUCCACCAGUGUUUUGGAGAGACAUCUGACAAACACUCCCUAAGUUCAUGAAAGUGCUUUCUUUUCAGAUGUCUGAGAUAAUCUUGUUCUAAGAACCCCUCUGUAACCUGCUGGCAGUACCAUUCACAUGUUGCCCACAAUCUGGUAAAUCAGCCACUUCUGCUAAAACAAAAUGAAGAUUUGGAGAGAACACAACAAUGGGAAGGACUGUGACUAAGGGCUCCUGAGAACCGAGAACCUACAACAUGUAGAUAGAGGUCUACAGAAAAGUUCUAGAGAGAGAGAGAAAAUUCCCCUGAUACUGAGAAAUACACACUUGUCAAUUACCAAGGAUUUAAAUCAUAUUUUUCAUUAACUGCUGAGCAGCCCAUGCUUCAGUGAUAUCUGUACAUAAUCCAAAGCACUGUACUGUGGUAUUUCUCACUGGUACUGAGAACACAAAUGAAGGAUGUCUUGAUAAGUAUCUUCCUAUUAGAAAUGUACAGAGAUAUAAUUUACUAACUUGGUUCUAGUCAACAAGUAGGGACUGAAUUUUAUUCUUCAAAGAGAACUACAGCAUGAGAACUAAAGAAUCUGGAUGUUCCUAAAAGGGAAAUUGAGGAGUUCCCGUCGUGGCUCAGAGGUUAACGAAUCCGACUAGGAAUCAUGAGGUUGCGGGUUCGAUCCCUGGCCUCGCUCAGUGGGUUAAGGAUCCAGCAUUGCCAUGAGCCAUGGUGUAGGUCGCAGAUGCAGCUUGGAUCCUGAGUUGCUGUGGCUGUGACAUAGGCUGGCAGCUGUAGCUCCGAUUCGACCCCUAGCCUGGGAACCUCCAUAUGCUUAAAUAAUUUAUAGAACUCUGAUAAAAUUUUUUCAAAAUUUAAAAAUAAUAGCACUAUUUUACAAUUUUGAUUUUACAAGGAAAUAAAGCUUUUGAGGACAUAAUAUUCCAUCAAAAUGGAAAGCUGAAUCAGUUUGCUUUGCUUUUCACCAUAGAAAUAAGCAUUUACACUAUCAGCCUGGGGAAAUCAAGCGACAGGAAAAACUGCUGGAAAAUAAACCUAUUAGAAAACUGGGAUCUGGUGCCAUCUACUGAGUGGCGGUGGUAAUGCGACCUUGGGUAUGUGACAUAACAUUAGGUAACACUGUAAUUUUAGCUACAUGCAACUCAAUAGGUACACAUAUUGUCAAGGCCUGAAAUUCAUAUGCAAAAAAGGAAAGUGACUGCUGUAUUAGGAAUGACGAUCGAUGGAUUUUUUUUUCUUUAAAUGCCAUCCUACCUUUUAACAGAAAGCAAAGUAGGCAGUUAAAAAUGAUUGCCGAAUACAAGGAAUACUGAUGUGGGGAUGACUGGCAAAUUAGGUAAAUGGAAAAGUCCCAUGAUCAAGAGUGAUUCAGGUAGGAUCUCUUACUCAUGGAGAGGCUGGUGACAGGCAGUUAUAUCCUUGGUAUUUGCAGUAGAUUGGAACAAAGGAUUUAAAAUUUUUCCUACUAUUUACAUAAAAAGCUGUUUUAUUUGAAAAAAUUAUCAAUCCAGACUGCCAAUUAAGUGCCACUUAGGAAUUAUAAUUGUAAUUCAUACCCAUACUGACCAUCUGGAGGCACAAAAAACCCUGAAGGGCAUUUUUGAAUAGCAAAAAAAAAAAAAA